AUUGAACGCUGGCGGCAUGCCUUACACAUGCAAGUCGAACGGUAACAGGUCUUCGGAUGCUGACGAGUGGCGAACGGGUGAGUAAUACAUCGGAACGUGCCUAGUAGUGGGGGAUAACUACUCGAAAGAGUGGCUAAUACCGCAUGAGAUCUACGGAUGAAAGCAGGGGAUCGCAAGACCUUGUGCUACUAGAGCGGCCGAUGGCAGAUUAGUUAGUUGGUGGGAUAAAAGCUUACCAAGCCGACGAUCUGUAGCUGGUCUGAGAGGACGAUCAGCCACGCUGGGACUGAGACACGGCCCAGACCCCUACGGGAGGCAGCAGUGGGGAAUUUUGGACAAUGGGCGCAAGCCUGAUCCAGCAAUGCCGCGUGCAGGAUGAAGGCCUUCGGGUUGUAAACUGCUUUUGUACGGAACGAAAAGCCCUGGGUUAAUACCCUGGGGUCAUGACGGUACCGUAAGAAUAAGCACCGGCUAACUACGUGCCAGCAGCCGCAGUAA
rnacentral:rRNA from 1 species